rnacentral:lncRNA from 1 species
AUAACCACACGACUCUUCCGAUCUGCCUUUCCGUGGUUCUGAAUAAACCUCCAUGAUGCCUUCUCUUCCAGAAGUCUGUCUCUUAUGGGAGGUGGAUAUUGAAAUGACACUUCUGGUCAUUUUUUUCCUUGAAUGAGGGGCUGAAUCCAAGCUUGAACACUCAAACUCAGGUUCCUUUGAGGGGCUGUGAUUGGAGUCUGGAAAAAGCUGGAGAACAGAGACUCGGUGUGGAAGACUCAAGUAUUCACAGCGUUCCACGGAGUGGAGUUAGAAGUCUGGUUUUGACAGCCUGAAUCACUCCAGUUUCUUUCCCCAAAGACCUGUUUUUUUCCUUUCAACCUGUGCGGCUUCCCUCCCACCCCACCCCACCCCACCCCACCCCACCCCCACCCCCAGGAAAUACACAGAAGUUUAUCAUCUAAGGAAACACACUUUGUUCCGAGGCACAGUAUUUCUGGAAAACCCCAGCAAUUGGGAGGGAUGGCUAGUUUCAGCUGAAAACAGUUCCUUAAACUUUCAGGUCCAGACAGUAUCUAGAAUUAGACAAUCAAGGUACUGCCUACAAGGAAAUCUUGCUUUGAUGAAUACAGGAGAUAAAAACAACCAAUCGGUUGCGUGAAUUGGAUUGAUUCUGAAAUAAGGUGGGACUAGAACCUCGCACACAGUAGGGCUCUUAAACCGCACUCCUUUCUUUUUGAUGUGCUUUAGGGGGCUUGGCAGUGGUUUGUUUUCUUAGGAAGAUUAAAUGUUCCAGAACAGUUCUGCCACUGCUGUGAAUUAACUAAGAGAAUAAUUUUUCAGUAAAGAGUUCAAAAGGUUAAAUUCUAGCCCAGCUUUCCCGAGAUGGCGGGUUCCUGUUAGUGACGUUCUCUUGUGCUGUCUUCUCUUCCAUUGAUCUCCUCUCCUUUCCUUCAAAUCACCUGUUUUUGUUUGAAAAGCAGCCCAGAUCUUUCAGUCCUUUAUUUAGAUGGGGUAGAAUGAAAACAAUCCAUGUCAGACAAUAGAUUGGGUGACCUGUUUAUAGAAUGUCCACCGGGUGAAGACUCUGGAGAGGAAACACAAAGGAGAGAAGGAACUCACAAUCAAUUGCUACCAUCCGAGAUGUUUGCAGUCCAGGGAAGGGGGAUAUGGCCCUGGAAGCGUAGCCCCGAUGAAGCUGUGGGUGACAUGCAGAGGAUGUGGGGCUUGACUUUGGAAAACCAGCCACCUGCCAGCUCUGUGACCCUGGGUCAGACAGAGCAGAGGAGAGGUGAAGAGCACAUCUUCCUGAGUCCCCACACUCCUAGUUUCCACGCCGGCCUGUCCACAUGGAGCUGUGGGUCCCAGGAUAAACCGGCUGGCCUUGCUAAGCCUCAGUUUUCUCAUCUGUGAAAUGGAUGCGGCAACACUCAUUUUGGAGAGCUGUGGAAAGCGGGUGAAUUCAGACACGUGAAUUGCCUGGGACCCAGUCCUUCAGGAAGUGGUACCCUUGAUUAUUUAUAAAACCUCCUUCUGUUGACACCACGCCUGCCCCUCAACACACGCAAUUUAGAGCAGGCAGCUGUAGAACUGCUUCAAGACCCGUUUCUCAGAUCAUUUGCUUUCUUUUACAAUUGAACCUUGUAUGACUUCUUGUAGCACGGACACCCUGAUCUCCCAGGCUGAAUUUCACACCCUCUCUAUCCAUUCAUCUGCCAACGGACAUUUACUAUAUAUAUAUGUAUGUAGGCUUCCCAGGUACUAAUGAUAAAGAACCUGCCUCCCAACGGAGGAGACCUAAGAGACAUGGGUUCUUCCCUGAGUUGGGAAGAUCCCCUGGAGGAGGGCAUGAAAACUCAUUCGUGAGGAGCUUGAUGGGCUACGGUCCAUGGGGUCACAAAGAGUCGACAUGACUGAAGUGACUGAAUACACAUGCACACACACACAUAUAUAUUAUAUAUAUACACGUACAUACAUAUAACUCAGCCAUGAGAAAUAAUGAAAUCUCAUUUGCAGCAGCAUGGAUAACCCUAGAGAUUAUCAUACUAAGUGAAGUAAAUCAAGGAUAUUUGUCAUUUGACAUUGUUUAUAUGUGGUAUUUAAGAAAAAAGUAUACAAAUGAACAUAUUUACAAAACAGAAAUAGACCCCCAGACAUGGAAAACAAAUUCAUGGUUACCAAAUGGGAAAGGAGAUGAGGGAUAAAUUAGGAGCUGGGAUUUACAUAUACACUGCUGCUGCUGCUAAGUCGCUUCAGUCGUGUCCGACUCUGUGCGACCCAGUGGACGGCAGCCCACCAGGCUCCCCCGUCCCUGGGAUUCUCCAGGCAAGAACACUGGAGUGGGUUGCCAUUUCCUUCUCCAGUGCAUGAAAGUGAAAAGUGAAAGGGAAGUCGCUCAGUCGUGUCCGACCCU